rnacentral:rRNA from 1 species
GCAAUCUCGGGGCCAGCGGCCGCGUUAAUAAGGGUUGUGCAAGUCUGUUCCGGAUUGUUUGGGUUUAAAGGGUCCGUAGGCGGACUUAUAAGUAAGUGGGGAAAUCCUGUCGCUUAACGAUAGAACUGCCAUUGAUACUGUAAGUCUUGAGUAUAAUUGAGGUAGCUGGAAUAAGUAGUGUAGCGGCGAAAUGCAUAGAUAUUACUUAGAACACCAAUUGCGAAGGCAGGUUACCAAGAUAUAACUGACGCUGAGGGACGAAAGCGUGGGGAGCGAACAGGAUUAGAUACCCUUGUAGUC